ACGCCUUGCGAUGCCUCUGCGGGCGGAGGAGCGACGAGCACCUGCGGUGGAAAAGUUCCCGAUCGUCACCCACAGAAGGACCCAGAAGACCAGGGAGAAGGUGUUCUAAGAAUCUUGGUGUCAAGCUGUCUUCGAUCUGAAUUGCUGGAAGUACACAAGGUGCAGCUGACUUGGGUCUGACCCGGCAGGAUGGUCCCAACGAAGAAUGCAAUAAAAUGCGGUCGCUGAGAGCGUGGUCAGGAACUGUCAUCCGGAGGCGAAGCCCAGAGCUGCCACUCAUUCACUCUGUGACCUUGGUCCAGUUACUUCAUUUCCCUGUGCCUCGGUGUGGUCAUCUGCAAACAGUCGGGAAAGCGUCGACACCUAGUGGUGCCGGGAGAACCAACGGAGCUGGCGCGUGUAAAAGCAAGGACAGUACCUGAGGCGCAGUCGAGGCUACUGGAGAACCAAUUUGUUCUCAUUUCUUUCCCAAGAAGUCCCUACCUGCAUUAGGAAGGUAGUUUUCCACUUUUAUCACUGGCUUGGCACAGGAGAGGCAAACCAACAGGUUCCCUCGAUUCCAAAAAUACCCUGUCUUUGUCCGCUUGUAUAGCAGGAACCCUAUUUCUCCUUGAUGAUCAAGAUCAGCCAUCCCAGUAAGGAUAGUGACCCUCGAUCUGCCAAGAGCAAGCAACUGGACGCUGGAUCGCUGUGGCAGAAAAACCCCAAGGUCUUUACCAGCCGCACCCAACGCGGAAGUAACACAGAUACCCUCUCCCUCGUCUCUGCCUUUCAAAUCUUGACCACACACAUCUUGUAACAACCGAGCUAUUGUCAAUUAAAAAAAAAAAAAUACACUUAACAGAGAUGCUUCCUGAAAUACUUACAAGAUAAUAUUUCAUCUCUCUAGUAACCGGAAUAUUUCUAUCUGUGAGAUGUAAUGUCUCUCUGUCUUGGAUAGUGCUGAAGGUUUUAACUUUCUGGGCUACUUACCAGCAGUAGGAUUCCAACCUAAGCACAGUGUUUAUUAGAAAUGCAUGUCUUAGGGGCACCUGGGUGGCUCAGUUUAAAGCCUCUGCCUUCCAUGGGCGCCUGGGUGG